rnacentral:rRNA from 1 species
GGGUUCCUACAUGCUUAAAACCGGGGGGGAAAGUCGACCGCCUUCCGAAUGGACGAGCUGCCUCCCAUAAAUGUACUUGGGUCUUGCACGUUACUCGCAGAAUAAGCCCCGGCUAACUCUGUGCCAGCAGCCGCGGUAAUACAGAGGGUGCGAGCGUUAAUCGGAUUUACUGGGCGUAAAGCGUGCGUAGGCGGCUUUUUAAGUCGGAUGUGAAAUCCCCGAGCUUAACUUGGGAAUUGCAUUCGAUACUGGGAAGCUAGAGUAUGGGAGAGGAUGGUAGAAUUCCAGGUGUAGCGGUGAAAUGCGUAGAGAUCUGGAGGAAUACCGAUGGCGAAGGCAGCCAUCUGGCCUAAUACUGACGCUGAGGUACGAAAGCAUGGGGAGCAAACAGGAUUAGAUACCCUGGUAGUCCAUGCCGUAAACGAUGUCUACUAGCCGUUGGGGCCUUUGAGGCUUUAGUGGCGCAGCUAACGCGAUAAGUAACCGCCUGGGGAGUACGGUCGCAAGACUAAAACUCAAA